rnacentral:rRNA from 1 species
AUUGAACGCUGGCGGCAGGCCUAACACAUGCAAGUCGAGCGGAUGAAGGGAGCUUGCUCCUGGAUUCAGCGGCGGACGGGUGAGUAAUGCCUAGGAAUCUGCCUGGUAGUGGGGGAUAACGUCCGGAAACGGGCGCUAAUACCGCAUCCGUCCUGAGGGAGAAAGUGGGGGAUCUUCGGACCUCACGCUAUCAGAUGAGCCUAGGUCGGAUUAGCUAGUUGGUGGGGUAAAGGCCUACCAAGGCGACGAUCCGUAACUGGUCUGAGAGGAUGAUCAGUCACACUGGAACUGAGACACGGUCCAGACUCCUACGGGAGGCAGCAGUGGGGAAUAUUGGACAAUGGGCGAAAGCCUGAUCCAGCCAUGCCGCGUGUGUGAAGAAGGUCUUCGGAUUGUAAAGCACUUUAAGUUGGGAGGAACAGCAGUAAGUGAAUACCUUGCUGUUUUGACGUUACCAACAGAAUAAGCACCGGCUAACUUCGUG